AUUGAACGCUGGCGGCAUGCUUUACACAUGCAAGUCGAACGGUAACAGGCCGCAAGGUGCUGACGAGUGGCGAACGGGUGAGUAAUGCAUCGGAACGUGCCCAGUCGUGGGGGAUAACGCAGCGAAAGCCGCGCUAAUACCGCAUACGAUCUAUGGAUGAAAGCGGGGGACCGUAAGGCCUCGCGCGAUUGGAGCGGCCGAUAUCAGAUUAGGUAGUUGGUGGGGUAAAGGCUCACCAAGCCGACGAUCUGUAGCUGGUCUGAGAGGACGACCAGCCACACUGGAACUGAGACACGGUCCAGACUCCUACGGGAGGCAGCAGUGGGGAAUUUUGGACAAUGGGCGCAAGCCUGAUCCAGCAAUGCCGCGUGCAGGAUGAAGGCCUUCGGGUUGUAAACUGCUUUUGUACGGAACGAAAAGGCUCUGGUUAAUACCUGGGGCACAUGACGGUACCGUAAGAAUAAGCACCGGCUAACUACGUGCCAGCAGCCGCCGUAAGAC
rnacentral:rRNA from 1 species